rnacentral:rRNA from 1 species
GGGUUGUGAGGUUAAGCGACUAAGCGUACACGGUGGAUGCCCUGGCAGUCAGAGGCGAUGAAGGACGUGCUAAUCUGCGAAAAGCGUCGGUAAGGUGAUAUGAACCGUUAUAACCGGCGAUGUCCGAAUGGGGAAACCCAGUGCAAUUCGUUGCACUAUCGUUAACUGAAUACAUAGGUUAACGAGGCGAACCGGGGGAACUGAAACAUCUAAGUACCCCGAGGAAAAGAAAUCAACCGAGAUUCCCCCAGUAGCGGCGAGCGAACGGGGAGCAGCCCAGAGUCUGAAUCAGCUUGUGUGUUAGUGGAACGGUCUGGAAAGUCCGACGGUACAGGGUGAUAGUCCCGUACACCAAAAUGCACAGGCUGUGAACUCGAAGAGUAGGGCGGGACACGUGGUAUCCUGUCUGAAUAUGGGGGGACCAUCCUCCAAGGCUAAAUACUCCUGACUGACCGAUAGUGAACCAGUACCGUGAGGGAAAGGCGAAAAGAACCCCGGCGAGGGGAGUGAAAAAGAACCUGAAACCGUGUACGUACAAGCAGUGGGAGCACCUUUAUGGUGUGACUGCGUACCUUUUGUAUAAUGGGUCAGCGACUUAUAUUCUGUAGCAAGGUUAACCGUAUAGGGGAGCCGCAGGGAAACCGAGUCUUAACUGGGCGUUAAGUUGCAGGGUAUAGACCCGAAACCCGGUGAUCUAGCCAUGGGCAGGUUGAAGGUUGGGUAACACUAACUGGAGGACCGAACCGACUAAUGUUGAAAAAUUAGCGGAUGACUUGUGGCUGGGGGUGAAAGGCCAAUCAAACCGGGAGAUAGCUGGUUCUCCCCGAAAGCUAUUUAGGUAGCGCCUCGUGAACUCAUCUUCGGGGGUAGAGCACUGUUUCGGCUAGGGGGUCAUCCCGACUUACCAACCCGAUGCAAACUACGAAUACCGAAGAAUGUUAUCACGGGAGACACACGGCGGGUGCUAACGUCCGUCGUGAAGAGGGAAACAACCCAGACCGCCAGCUAAGGUCCCAAAGUCAUGGUUAAGUGGGAAACGAUGUGGGAAGGCACAGACAGCCAGGAUGUUGGCUUAGAAGCAGCCAUCAUUUAAAGAAAGCGUAAUAGCUCACUGGUCGAGUCGGCCUGCGCGGAAGAUGUAACGGGGCUAAACCAUGCACCGAAGCUGCGGCAGCGACACGAUGUGUUGUUGGGUAGGGGAGCGUUCUGUAAGCCUGCGAAGGUGACCUGUGAGGGUUGCUGGAGGUAUCAGAAGUGCGAAUGCUGACAUAAGUAACGAUAAAGCGGGUGAAAAGCCCGCUCGCCGGAAGACCAAGGGUUCCUGUCCAACGUUAAUCGGGGCAGGGUGAGUCGACCCCUAAGGCGAGGCCGAAAGGCGUAGUCGAUGGGAAACAGGUUAAUAUUCCUGUACUUGGUGUUACUGCGAAGGGGGGACGGAGAAGGCUAUGUUAGCCGGGCGACGGUUGUCCCGGUUUAAGCAUGUAGGCUGGUUAUCCAGGCAAAUCCGGAUAAUCAAGGCUGAGGUGUGAUGACGAGGCACUACGGUGCUGAAGUAACAAAUGCCCUGCUUCCAGGAAAAGCCUCUAAGCAUCAGGUAACAUCAAAUCGUACCCCAAACCGACACAGGUGGUCAGGUAGAGAAUACCAAGGCGCUUGAGAGAACUCGGGUGAAGGAACUAGGCAAAAUGGUGCCGUAACUUCGGGAGAAGGCACGCUGGUGUGUAGGUGAAGUCCCUGCGGAUGGAGCUGAGACCAGUCGAAGAUACCAGCUGGCUGCAACUGUUUAUUAAAAACACAGCACUGUGCAAACACGAAAGUGGACGUAUACGGUGUGACGCCUGCCCGGUGCCGGAAGGUUAAUUGAUGGGGUUAUCCGUAAGGAGAAGCUCUUGAUCGAAGCCCCGGUAAACGGCGGCCGUAACUAUAACGGUCCUAAGGUAGCGAAAUUCCUUGUCGGGUAAGUUCCGACCUGCACGAAUGGCGUAAUGAUGGCCAGGCUGUCUCCACCCGAGACUCAGUGAAAUUGAACUCGCUGUGAAGAUGCAGUGUACCCGCGGCAAGACGGAAAGACCCCGUGAACCUUUACUAUAGCUUGACACUGAACAUUGAGCCUUGAUGUGUAGGAUAGGUGGGAGGCUUUGAAGCGUGGACGCCAGUCUGCGUGGAGCCAACCUUGAAAUACCACCCUUUAAUGUUUGAUGUUCUAACGUGGGCCCCUGACCGGGGUUGCGGACAGUGUCUGGUGGGUAGUUUGACUGGGGCGGUCUCCUCCCAAAGCGUAACGGAGGAGCACGAAGGUUAGCUAAUCCUGGUCGGACAUCAGGAGGUUAGUGCAAUGGCAUAAGCUAGCUUGACUGCGAGCGUGACGGCGCGAGCAGGUGCGAAAGCAGGUCAUAGUGAUCCGGUGGUUCUGAAUGGAAGGGCCAUCGCUCAACGGAUAAAAGGUACUCCGGGGAUAACAGGCUGAUACCGCCCAAGAGUUCAUAUCGACGGCGGUGUUUGGCACCUCGAUGUCGGCUCAUCACAUCCUGGGGCUGAAGUAGGUCCCAAGGGUAUGGCUGUUCGCCAUUUAAAGUGGUACGCGAGCUGGGUUUAGAACGUCGUGAGACAGUUCGGUCCCUAUCUGCCGUGGGCGCUGGAGAAUUGAGGGGGGCUGCUCCUAGUACGAGAGGACCGGAGUGGACGCAUCACUGGUGUUCGGGUUGUCAUGCCAAUGGCACUGCCCGGUAGCUAAAUGCGGAAGAGAUAAGUGCUGAAAGCAUCUAAGCACGAAACUUGCCCCGAGAUGAGUUCUCCCUGAGACUAUAAGUCUCCUGAAGGAACGUUGAAGACGACGACGUUGAUAGGCCGGGUGUGUAAGCGCAGCGAUGCGUUGAGCUAACCGGUACUAAUGAACCGUGAGGCUUAACCUUACAACGCCGAAG